rnacentral:rRNA from 1 species
AAGAAACCAACCGGGAUUGCCUUAGUAACGGCGAGUGAAGCGGCAAAAGCUCAAAUUUGAAAUCUGGUACCUUCGGUGCCCGAGUUGUAAUUUGGAGAGGGCAACUUUGGGGCCGUUCCUUGUCUAUGUUCCUUGGAACAGGACGUCAUAGAGGGUGAGAAUCCCGUGUGGCGAGGAGUGCGGUUCUUUGUAAAGUGCCUUCGAAGAGUCGAGUUGUUUGGGAAUGCAGCUCUAAGUGGGUGGUAAAUUCCAUCUAAAGCUAAAUAUUGGCGAGAGACCGAUAGCGAACAAGUACAGUGAUGGAAAGAUGAAAAGAACUUUGAAAAGAGAGUGAAAAAGUACGUGAAAUUGUUGAAAGGGAAGGGCAUUUGAUCAGACAUGGUGUUUUGUGCCCUCUGCUCCUUGUGGGUAGGGGAAUCUCGCAUUUCACUGGGCCAGCAUCAGUUUUGGUGGCAGGAUAAAUCCAUAGGAAUGUAGCUUGCCUCGGUAAGUAUUAUAGCCUGUGGGAAUACUGCCAGCUGGGACUGAGGACUGCGACGUAAGUCAAGGAUGCUGGC